rnacentral:tRNA from 1 species
GCCUGGGUGGCUCAGUCGGUUAAGCAUCUGACUCUUGACUUCAGCUCGGGUCAGGAUCUCACUGUUUGUGGGUUCGAGCCCCACAUCCGGCU